rnacentral:rRNA from 1 species
UCGAGAAUUUUUCUCAAUGGGCGAAAGCCUGAAGGAGCGACGCCGCGUGGGGGAUGAAUGGCUUCGGCCCGUAAACCCCUGUCAUUCGGGAUCAAUGCUUGUUUCCCAACACGAGACAAGUUGAUAGUACCGGAAGAGGAAGGGACGGCUAACUCUGUGCCAGCAGCCGCGGUAAUACAGAGGUCCCAAGCGUUGUUCGGAUUUACUGGGCGUAAAGGGUGCGUAGGUGGUUGGGUAAGUCUGAUGUGAAAUCUCCGGGCUCAACCCGGAAAUGGCAUUGGAUACUAUUUGACUAGAGGGUUGGAGGGGGGACUGGAAUACUUGGUGUAGCAGUGAAAUGCGUAGAUAUCAAGUGGAACACCAGUGGCGAAGGCGAGUCCCUGGACAACUCCUGACACUGAGGCACGAAAGCUAGGGGAGCAAACAGGAUUAGAUACCCCUGUAGUCC